AUGCACGCUGGCGGCGUGCCUCACACAUGCCAGUCGCACGAAGCACCUUACCUGAUUCUUCGGAUGAAAGUUUGGUGACUGAGUGGCGGACGGGUGAGUAACGCGUGGGUAACCUGCCCUGUACAGGGGGAUAACAGCUGGAAACGGCUGCUAAUACCGCAUAAGCGCACGAGGAGACAUCUCCUUGUGUGAAAAACUCCGGUGGUACAGGAUGGGCCCGCGUCUGAUUAGCUGGCUGGCAGGGUAACGGCCUACCAAGGCAACGAUCAGUAGCCGGUCUGAGAGGAUGAACGGCCACAUUGGAACUGAGACACGGUCCAAACUCCUACGGGAGGCAGCAGUGGGGAAUAUUGCACAAUGGGGGAAACCCUGAUGCAGCAACGCCGCGUGAGUGAAGAAGUAUUUCGGUAUGUAAAGCUCUAUCAGCAGGGAAGAUAAUGACGGUACCUGACGAAGAAGCUCCGGCUAAAUACGUG
rnacentral:rRNA from 1 species